AUUGGAUAUGGUGGAGACCUCUACUGGCGGAGAGGGAUGGAGCCGCUGCAAAUCUAAACACUAUUAAUGGCAGUGGCCAUGUUUAUUGAUGUAAGUCCUAUCCCAGUAGGACUGACUUCCUUGUGAGAAGAGGAAGAGAUGGCAGGAGAGUACAGAGCAGAGGCUCUAGGAGAUACAGGUAUGAGGAGUAUCUGGAAGAUAAGGAAAAGAGCCUCAAGAAGAUUGUUGCUUUGGAGUUCAAGCCUCUAAUAUGAAACCUUCAAGGUAACGUGACUGCAACGUUCUCACAAAGCAGCCAAUG